UAACACAUAGCAAGUCGAACGGAACGAAAAGAGCUUGCUCUGGCGUUAGUGGCGGACGGGUGAGUAACACGUGAGUAACCUGCCUUCAGAGGGGAAUAAUGUCUGGAAACGGACACUAAUACCGACAUAAAAUAUUUUAACCGCAUGAUUGAAAUAUCAAAGGAGCAAUCCGCUGAAAGAUGGACUCGCGUCUGAUUAGCCAGUUGGCGGGGUAACGGCCCACCAAAGCGACGAUCAGUAGCCGGACUGAGAGGUUGAACGGCCACAUUGGGACUGAGACACGGCCCAGACUCCUACGGGAGGCAGCAGUGGGGGAUAUUGCACAAUGGGCGCAAGCCUGAUGCAGCAAACCGCCGCGUGCAGGAAGACGGUCUUCGGAUUGUAAACUGUUGUCCUCUGUGACGAUAAUGACGGUAGCAGAGGAGGAAGCCACGGCUAACUACGUGCCAGCAGCGGC
rnacentral:rRNA from 1 species